AUAAUGGGUCAGCGACUUAUAUUCUGUAGCAAGGUUAACCGAAUAGGGGAGCCGAAGGGAAACCGAGUCUUAACUGGGCGUUAAGUUGCAGGGUAUAGACCCGAAACCCGGUGAUCUAGCCAUGGGCAGGUUGAAGGUUGGGUAACACUAACUGGAGGACCGAACCGACUAAUGUUGAAAAAUUAGCGGAUGACUUGUGGCUGGGGGUGAAAGGCCAAUCAAACCGGGAGAUAGCUGGUUCUCCCCGAAAGCUAUUUAGGUAGCGCCUCGUGAAUUCAUCUCCGGGGGUAGAGCACUGUUUCGGCAAGGGGGUCAUCCCGACUUACCAACCCGAUGCAAACUGCGAAUACCGGAGAAUGUUAUCACGGGAGACACACGGCGGGUGCUAACGUCCGUCGUGAAGAGGGAAACAACCCAGACCGCCAGCUAAGGUCCCAAAGUCAUGGUUAAGUGGGAAACGAUGUGGGAAGGCCCAGACAGCCAGGAUGUUGGCUUAGAAGCAGCCAUCAUUUAAAGAAAGCGUAAUAGCUCACUGGUCGAGUCGGCCUGCGCGGAAGAUGUAACGGGGCUAAACCAUGCACCGAAGCUGCGGCAGCGACACUGUGUGUUGUUGGGUAGGGGAGCGUUCUGUAAGCCUGCGAAGGUGUGCUGUGAGGCAUGCUGGAGGUAUCAGAAGUGCGAAUGCUGACAUAAGUAACGAUAAAGCGGGUGAAAAGCCCGCUCGCCGGAAGACCAAGGGUUCCUGUCCAACGUUAAUCGGGGCAGGGUGAGUCGACCCCUAAGGCGAGGCCGAAAGGCGUAGUCGAUGGGAAACAGGUUAAUAUUCCUGUACUUGGUGUUACUGCGAAGGGGGGACGGAGAAGGCUAUGUUGGCCGGGCGACGGUUGUCCCGGUUUAAGCGUGUAGGCUGGUUUUCCAGGCAAAUCCGGAAAAUCAAGGCUGAGGCGUGAUGACGAGGCACUACGGUGCUGAAGCAACAAAUGCCCUGCUUCCAGGAAAAGCCUCUAAGCAUCAGGUAACAUCAAAUCGUACCCCAAACCGACACAGGUGGUCAGGUAGAGAAUACCAAGGCGCUUGAGAGAACUCGGGUGAAGGAACUAGGCAAAAUGGUGCCGUAACUUCGGGAGAAGG
rnacentral:rRNA from 1 species